GAUGAACGCUGGCGGCGUGCCUAAUGCAUGCAAGUCGAGCGAACAGAUGAGGAGCUUGCUCCUCUGACGUUAGCGGCGGACGGGUGAGUAACACGUGGAUAACCUACCUAUAAGACUGGGAUAACUUCGGGAAACCGGAGCUAAUACCGGAUAAUAUAUUGAACCGCAUGGUUCAAUAGUGAAAGGCGGUUUUGCUGUCACUUAUAGAUGGAUCCGCGCCGCAUUAGCUAGUUGGUAAGGUAACGGCUUACCAAGGCAACGAUGCGUAGCCGACCUGAGAGGGUGAUCGGCCACACUGGAACUGAGACACGGUCCAGACUCCUACGGGAGGCAGCAGUAGGGAAUCUUCCGCAAUGGGCGAAAGCCUGACGGAGCAACGCCGCGUGAGUGAUGAAGGUCUUCGGAUCGUAAAACUCUGUUAUUAGGGAAGAACAAAUGUGUAAGUAACUAUGCACGUCUUGACGGUACCUAAUCAGAAAGCCACGGCUAACUACGUG
rnacentral:rRNA from 1 species